rnacentral:rRNA from 1 species
UUGCCUCUUGGACUGGGACAACUGUUGGAAACGACAGCUAAUACCAGAUAUUAUGAGAUUCUCGCAUGAGAAACUUAUGAAAGCUAUAUGCGCCAAGAGAGAGCCUUGCGUUCCAUUAGCUAGUUGGUGGGGUAACGGCCCACCAAGGCGACGAUGGAUAGCCGGCCUGAGAGGGUGAACGGCCACAAGGGGACUGAGACACGGCCCUUACUCCUACGGGAGGCAGCAGUGGGGAAUAUUGGACAAUGGGCCACAAGCCUGAUCCAGCAAUUCUGUGUGCACGAUGAAGGUCUUCGGAUUGUAAAGUGCUUUCAGUUGGGAAGAAGAAAGUGACGGUACCAACAGAAGAAGCGACGGCUAAAUACGUGCCAGCAGCCGCGGUAAUACGUAUGUCGCAAGCGUUAUCCGGAUUUAUUGGGCGUAAAGCGCGUCUAGGCGGAAAAAUAAGUCUGAUGUUAA